GAGAUGCUAUUUUAGAAGUCUUUCUAAUGUUUUUCUGUAUGCUGUAAUGGCAACACUUGCUGUUUGGUGGUAAUUUGCAUCAGAUUCCCAGUGGAAAAUGUUGAGAUCUGAGUGAACCUUCUGGCCCUGAGCUAUACGUUUUAUCAGCUUGUACAGGCUUCAAAGAGAACCAGCAUCUCUAUUCUGUGCAGCACCCAGCCUGCUCUCUUUGCUCCAACAGUAAGAAUACCAAACAAGGAAUGCUGCAAUUGAUCCUAGGCAAUAGAAAGUACUUGAAUAUUAAACAAGAAAUAAAUAGGGAUGCAACAAAACUAGCAAUGAAAAGAAGGUGAAGGAGGUCAUGGGAGAGAAAGAUGCUGUGGAAAGUUGAGAUACCUGUGGAUUCUGCACUACUAAAGUGAGUGGAAGCCAUGUUACGAACUUUAAGAGCAGCUGAGAGCAAUGCUAGAGCUGAUAUUUCCUGCCUUUUCUAACCUUAUGUGACCAAAGAAUUUGUCUUCUGCCCCUUCUGGAAUACUUCUCUUGAGGUUUUCUACAUGACCUUGGAAAAGUUGGACAGGGGCUGACGCUGCCCUAGAAGUCGGUGGGCUAUAUGCUACAAAGAGAGGAGUAUUAAGACUGCAUUCUUCCUGUACCUCUUGUCUCUUCACCUGUAAAAUGCGGAUAACAAUGCACUCCUACUUCCUCCAGGUAAGAGAGGAGAACUGUUUUGCCUUAAUUGCACAGGAGUCAGCCCUGGAGGAGCACCUGUGAGAGGGCAGCCCUUGCUGCUCCUUCCCCUGAAACACUGAGCUGACAGCAAGGCAACCAGGGAUCAGCAUGAAGCCCACGCUAGCUUUCCAUCCCGCUCUCCGCUGCAGCUUUGGCUGACGGCUGGCCCAAGCCAUCGAGCCACGCGCGGCACAUGGGGUCUCGGCGGGGAACGAAGCCGAGGCCACACGACGCCUGUGAGAUGUGGGCCUGAGAGAAGAAUCUCCCUGAACUGAACAAAUGUGUCACUUUUGAAUAAGGAUUCAUGAAAAGGCAGAAAAGGAGAAGAAAAAAGAAUAAAGGAAGAGGUCAAGACAAGGAAGGUCUGAAGAAGAAAAUGCUUUUGGGAAAGGAUCAUCUUUAAGAAGAAUACUCUACGCUACAGUGAUCCUGUAGUAGAUUUCUGUUGUAGUAAGGAUUUUGGAAAGAUAGAAGAUGAUGUGGGGUGAGUUUUUCUCUUAUUUCUGUUGGCUCGUUACAAUUUCCCAUAUGCAUCUGGACUGUGGAAUAGGAACUUAAACUCUGUCACUUCUUUGCCAGCAGCAUCUUUCACAGUUCUGUGUCUGGAUGGCUGUUUGGCCAAGAGACAAAGUGCGGUAGUGUAAAUGCCUGAACUGAGCUUACUGUUUGGUAUGGAAGUUAUUCUGACUAACCAUGUGCUCAUCUCUCUCUAAUCAAUAUAUGGUUAUGGAAUGAAUGAAUGGAAAAGGAGGAAAGCUGAUCACUCUGUUACAGUGUUGAACUAACUUGAGGCUGCACACAAGACCGGAUUAGCCUAAUAUGUAUCAGGACUGUAAGAGGUACACUGCAAGCAGA